rnacentral:tRNA from 1 species
GGGGGUAUAGCUCAGUUGGUAGAGCGUUUGAAUGGCAUUCAAAAGGUCAGCGGUUCGAUCCCGCUUACCUCCACCA